rnacentral:tRNA from 1 species
AAAUAAGAAGUAAAAUUUACAUUUAGUUUCGACCUAAAAUUUUGGUUUUUAUAAGCCCUUAUUUU